rnacentral:lncRNA from 1 species
UGGCCGCCCAGCAGUCUGGGCCUAGGACCGAACUUACUAAGCCUUCAAAGUUGUCCAAGCAGAAAUCUGGCUCAAAUCUACUGAACAAGUUUCCUGAAACCUGGCUGAGGACAACUUGAGCGACUCCAGUCAGAAAGGCCAUCAUCUUGAAGAUCGUAGCUCAUGCAGUAGAGGUCCCAGAUGUCCACACAUUUCGCAGGAAUCCUAGGAUCUCUUUUCUUUUGGAAAAAGAAAACAACCCUCCACUAAGGACCUGAAGAGGACCUCUUCAAGAUUUGGAGUGUCCCUGGUACUCCCUCCAGCACCCCGUGCUGUACACUUAGAAUGUCGAGUCUGGAGAAGCGGAGCUGGACACCAGAGACUUGGAAAUGUCUCAGAAAGUCAGGUGGUCAUACAGAGAGCUAUAGAGCCUCGGUUGUGCCUCAACCUCCACCCCUGGCCGCAGAUCUAUCUUGGGCUUUGAGGGACCUGACAACUUGCCUGGAGUCUCACCUGUUAUGUGUUCAAAGUUAAUUGAGCCCCCAAAGGUACCUGAGAAGCACUUGGUUCUGGAUAGAACACUCCCUGGGAUCUCUCCCCAAGUUGUGAAAGAGAAAUGAAAGAAGAAGGCUCCUGAGAUCUCGAAGUCAGAGCUGGAUAAUUGGGCUGUGGCCGUGGAUGCUGAAUUUGAAGCUGCUGAGCAGUUUGAUCUUCUGAUUGAA